rnacentral:rRNA from 1 species
UAGGGAAUCUUCCGCAAUGGACGAAAGUCUGACGGAGCAACGCCGCGUGAGUGAUGAAGGCUUUCGGGUCGUAAAACUCUGUUGUUAGGGAAGAACAAGUACGAGAGUAACUGCUCGUACCUUGACGGUACCUAACCAGAAAGCCACGGCUAACUACGUGCCAGCAGCCGCGGUAAUACGUAGGUGGCAAGCGUUAUCCGGAAUUAUUGGGCGUAAAGCGCGCGCAGGCGGUUUCUUAAGUCUGAUGUGAAAGCCCACGGCUCAACCGUGGAGGGUCAUUGGAAACUGGGGAACUUGAGUGCAGAAGAGAAAAGCGGAAUUCCACGUGUAGCGGUGAAAUGCGUAGAGAUGUGGAGGAACACCAGUGGCGAAGGCGGCUUUUUGGUCUGUAACUGACGCUGCGGCGCGAAAGCGUGGGGAGCAAACAGGAUUAGAUACCCUGGUAGUCCACGCCGUAAACGAUGAGUGCUAAGUGUUAGAGGGUUUCCGCCCUUUAGUGCUGCAGCUAACGCAUUAAGCACUCCGCCUGGGGAGUACGGUCGCAAGACUG